rnacentral:tRNA from 1 species
GCCUGACGGGCUUAGUCGGUGGAGCGGAAGACUCUUGAUCUCCAAGUUGUGAGUUUGAGCCCCAUGUUGGGUU